rnacentral:lncRNA from 1 species
GUCGAAUACUGGGCUGGUGGAACCCUCGGGGACGAAACGCCCACCAGCAAUGGCAUCGCCCCAGUGGUGUAAAUAGUUAUCAAAGGUACUAGGAUUAUAAUUUUGUACGCCAGACGCGCAAAUACAUUAAAAUUAUUAUUUGGGCAUUUGUGAACAUGUUGUUUGUAAAAUAGUUGGAUGAUUGUAGGAUGAAGUUUUUUAUUGUCAUGUGAAGUACUCACUUAUCAUGAGUUAUAGGAUACCCAUAUUUUGUAUAUUGGAUCCUAUAAACUAAAUGUUCGUCAGACAGGAUUCACCUGACCCUGAAUUUGCCUCAUUUCAUGGAUGAAGAUUCAUUUUAGUGGUCAAGUC